GAUGAAGAACGCAGCGAAAUGCGAUAAGUAAUGUGAAUUGCAGAAUUCAGUGAAUCAUCGAAUCUUUGAACGCACCUUGCGCCUUUUGGUAUUCCGAAAGGCACACCUGUUUGAGCGUCAUGAAUACCUCAAUCUCCAUCUUUUCUUCGGAUUGAUGGGUGACUUGGAUGUUGAGCCCUGCUGGUAUGCUAUAUCAGCUGGCUUUAAACUUAUUAGCCGGCUCUGUACUGGAUCGGUUUGACUCGACGUGAUAAUAUUAUCGUUGAGGAUGCAUGUCUCAUGCAGCCGGAAAGUAUCAAAGCAGCAUCUAGCUUGCCUUUAGUGCACUUUUACAUUUUAGACCUCAGAUCAGGUGGGACUACCCGCUGAACUUAAGCAUAUCAAUAAGCGGAGGA
rnacentral:misc_RNA from 1 species